CCGAGAGUCGCUGUGAUGACGCUCGGCUCAAACAGCGUAUCCCCCGGGUGAGCUACGCAAUCUCUGUACGCCCAUAGGCUGUAUCAGGUGUCAAUCAUAGAAAACAUGAACCCCCUAAUAACUUUUAAAAAUGGAGCUGUACAGAAAAAAAGAGGACUUGAGCACAAACCAGUCUGACAGUAACUACAUGUCAACAUCACAACCAGGGGGGAGAUACAUUUAUAUUCUGUGUCAUUCAUUUAUAAAGUUUGUCCACAGCUCCAUAAGGAGGCGGGGUUUAUGACCUAUACUGCAGCCCGUCACCAGAGGGCGCUGUUCUCACAGAGAGGAGA